rnacentral:rRNA from 1 species
CGCUUGACCUAGCUACCCCUACCCAAUACGGGCCGGUAAAUUACGUGCCAGCCACCGCGGUUACACGUAAGGCCCAAGAUAAUAGCCCCCGGCGUAAAGAGUGACCAAACAGAUCGGACCAUAAAAGAAAUUAGCACUACAAUAAAGCCGUAAAAUGCCCAUACACAGCAAGAAUUACAACAAAUUUCUUCACAUGCCACCUAAAACGCCACGAAAGCCAGGGAACAAACUAGGAUUAGACACCCUACUAUGCCUGGCCGUUAACCACAGCAGUCACACCAACAAACUGCUCGCCAGAGGAUUACAAGCGAAAAGCUUAAAACUCAACGGACUUGACGGUGUUCCACACCGACCUAGAGGAGCCUGUCCUAUAAUCGACACCCCACGCUAAACCUCACCCCACCUUGACAAUCCCGCCUAUAUACCGCCGUCGUCAGCCUGCCCAAUGAUAGACCCACAGCAGACAAAAAAGUACCUCGCCCACUAAAACGUCAGGUCAAGGUGUAGCUAAUGGUGGGGGCAGAGAUGGGCUACAUUCUCUAAUAAUAGAGAACCCACCACAAGCGACAUGAAAUAUUCGCCCAAAGGCGGAUUUAGCAGUAAAUCACGGUAAGACAACCCAUGUUGAAAACCCGCUCUGGAACGCGC